CUCUUGUUUGUUUGUUCAUUUCCAUUUUGAGUGCCAAAGUAGGCCAGUUUUCAGUUGUAGUUUCCCAAAAAGGGCUCCUUCAUUUUCUGAGCAGAUAUGGAGUACACUCCUGCAACUCCUUCCCCCAUCCAGACUUCUUCCUCCAUCCAGCCUCCUUCCCCACAAUCUGAAUGGGCAGCAGAUGCCCCGGAGCGACUUGAGGGAGG